UAUCCUGUCUGAAUAUGGGGGGACCAUCCUCCAAGGCUAAAUACUCCUGACUGACCGAUAGUGAACCAGUACCGUGAGGGAAAGGCGAAAAGAACCCCUGUGAGGGGAGUGAAAUAGAACCUGAAACCGUGUACGUACAAGCAGUAGGAGCACCUUCGUGGUGUGACUGCGUACCUUUUGUAUAAUGGGUCAGCGACUUAUAUUCAGUGGCAAGGUUAACCAUCUAGGGGAGCCGUAGGGAAACCGAGUCUUAACUGGGCGCCAUAGUCUCUGGAUAUAGACCCGAAACCGAGUGAUCUAGCCAUGGGCAGGUUGAAGGUUGAGUAACAUCAACUGGAGGACCGAACCGACUAAUGUUGAAAAAUUAGCGGAUGACUUGUGGCUAGGGGUGAAAGGCCAAUCAAACUCGGAGAUAGCUGGUUCUCCCCGAAAGCUAUUUAGGUAGCGCCUCGGACGAAUACUACUGGGGGUAGAGCACUGUUAAGGCUAGGGGGUCAUCCCGACUUACCAACCCUUUGCAAACUCCGAAUACCAGUAAGUACUAUCCGGGAGACACACGGCGGGUGCUAACGUCCGUCGUGGAGAGGGAAACAACCCAGACCGCCAGCUAAGGUCCCAAAUUACAGCUAAGUGGGAAACGAUGUGGGAAGGCUUAGACAGCUAGGAUGUUGGCUUAGAAGCAGCCAUCAUUUAAAGAAAGCGUAAUAGCUCACUAGUCGAGUCGGCCUGCGCGGAAGAUGUAACGGGGCUAAGUU
rnacentral:rRNA from 1 species